GCGACGACGGGUAGCCGGCCUGAGAGGGCGACCGGCCACACUGGGACUGAGACACGGCCCAGACUCCUACGGGAGGCAGCAGUGGGGAAUAUUGCACAAUGGGCGAAAGCCUGAUGCAGCGACGCCGCGUGAGGGAUGACGGCCUUCGGGUUGUAAACCUCUUUCAGCAGGGAAGAAGCGCAAGUGACGGUACCUGCAGAAGAAGCGCCGGCUAACUACGUGCCAGCAGCCGCGGCG
rnacentral:rRNA from 1 species